rnacentral:rRNA from 1 species
GACGAACGCUGGCGGCGUGCCUAAUACAUGCAAGUUGAGCGCUGAAGGUUGGUACUUGUACCAACUGGAUGAGCAGCGAACGGGUGAGUAACGCGUGGGGAAUCUGCCUUUGAGCGGGGGACAACAUUUGGAAACGAAUGCUAAUACCGCAUAAAAACUUUAAACACAAGUUUUAAGUUUGAAAGAUGCAAUUGCAUCACUCAAAGAUGAUCCCGCGUUGUAUUAGCUAGUUGGUGAGGUAAAGGCUCACCAAGGCGAUGAUACAUAGCCGACCUGAGAGGGUGAUCGGCCACAUUGGGACUGAGACACGGCCCAAACUCCUACAGGAGGCAGCAGUAGGGAAGCUUCGGCAAUGGACGAAAGUCUGACCGAGCAACGCCGCGUGAGUGAAGAAGGUUGUCGGAUCGUAAAACUCUGUUGGUAGAGAAGAACGUUGGUGAGAGUGGAAAGCUCAUCAAGUGACGGUAACUACCCAGAAAGGGACGGCUAACUACGUG